rnacentral:rRNA from 1 species
AGUGAACGCUGGCGGUAGGCCUAACACAUGCAAGUCGAACGGCAGCACAGUAAGAGCUUGCUCUUACGGGUGGCGAGUGGCGGACGGGUGAGGAAUACAUCGGAAUCUACUUUUUCGUGGGGGAUAACGUAGGGAAACAUACGCUAUUACCGCAUACGACCUACGGGUGAAAGCAGCGGAUCUUCGGACCUUGCGCGAUCGAAUGAGCCGAUGUCGGAUUAGCUAGUUGGCGGGGUAAAGGCCCACCAAGGCGACGAUCCGUAGCUGGUCUGAGAGGAUGAUCAGCCACACUGGAACUGAGACACGGUCCAGACUCCUACGGGAGGCAGCAGUGGGGAAUAUUGGACAAUGGGCGCAAGCCUGAUCCAGCCAUACCGCGUGUGUGAAGAAGGCCUUCGGGUUGUAAAGCCCUUUUGUUGGGAAAGAAAAGCAGCAGGUUAAUACCCCGCUGUUCUGACGGUACCCAAAGAAUAAGCACCGGCUAACUUCGUG